GACGGGGGAUGCAAGUGUUAUCCGGAAUCACUGGGCGUAAAGCGUCUGCAGGCGGUUUCCUAAGUCCACUGUUAAACCUUGAGGCUCAACCUCAAAUCUGCAUUGGAAACUAGGAGACUUGAGUAUAGUAGGGGUAGAGGGAAUUUCCAGUGGAGCGGUGAAAUGCGUAGAUAUCGUUUGGAACGCCAACGGUGAAAACAGACAGCUGGGAGUGUGCUGACGCUGAGACACGAAAGCCAGGGGAGCGAACGGG
rnacentral:rRNA from 1 species